GACGAACGCUGGCGGCGUGCUUAACACAUGCAAGUCGAACGGAAAGGCCCUGCUUUUGUGGGGUGCUUGAGUGGCGAACGGGUGAGUAACACGUGAGUAACCUGCCCUUGACUUUGGGAUAACUUCAGGAAACUGGGGCUAAUACCGGAUAGGAGCUCCUGCUGCAUGGUGGGGGUUGGAAAGUUUCGGCGGUUGGGGAUGGACUCGCGGCGUAUCAGCUUGUUGGUGGGGUAGUGGCUUACCAAGGCUUUGACGGGUAGCCGGCCUGAGAGGGUGACCGGCCACAUUGGGACUGAGAUACGGCACAGACUCCUACGGGAGGCAGCAGUGGGGAAUAUUGCACAAUGGGCGGAAGCCUGAUGCAGCAAAGCCGCGUGCGGGAUGACGGCCUUCGGGUUGUAAACCGCUUUCGCCUGUGACGAAGCGUGAGUGACGGUAAUGGGUAAAGAAGCACCGGCUAACUACGUG
rnacentral:rRNA from 1 species